GUGAGGAAUAUUGGUCAAUGGGCGAGAGCCUGAACCAGCCAAGUAGCGUGAAGGAUGACUGCCCUAUGGGUUGUAAACUUCUUUUAUAGGGGAAUAAAGUGCGUCACGUGUGGCGUUUUGUAUGUACCCUAUGAAUAAGCAUCGGCUAAUUCCGUGCCAGCAGCCGCGGUAAUACGGAAGAUGCGAGCGUUAUCCGGAUUUAUUGGGUUUAAAGGGAGCGUAGGCGGACGCUUAAGCCUGCGGUCAAAUGUCAGCGCCCAACGCUGGCCUGCCGUGGGAACUGGGUGUCUUGAAUGUGCACAAGGAAGGUGGAAUUCGUGGUGUAGCGGUGAAAUGCUUAGAUAUCACGAAGAACUCCGAUUGCGAAGGCAGCCUUCUGGGGCAUGAUUGACGCUGAGGCUCGAAAGCGCGGGAAUCAAACAGG
rnacentral:rRNA from 1 species